rnacentral:rRNA from 1 species
UACGGAGGGUGCAAGCGUUGUCCGGAUUUAUUGGGUUUAAAGGGUGCGUAGGCGGCCUUAUAAGUCAGUGGUGAAAGCCCACAGCUCAACUGUGGAACUGCCAUUGAUACUGUAAGGCUUGAGUACAGACGAGGUAGGCGGAAUUGAUGGUGUAGCGGUGAAAUGCUUAGAUAUCGUCAAGAACACCUAUAGCGAAGGCAGCUUACUAGGCUGUAACUGACGCUGAGGCACGAAAGUGUGGGGAUCAAACAGG